rnacentral:rRNA from 1 species
AAUAUUGUACAAUGGGGGGAACGCUGAUCCCGCCAUGCCGCGUGUGUGAAGAAGGUCUUUGUAUUGAAAAGCACUUUAAUUUGGGAGGAAGGGUUGUAGGCUAAUACCUUGCCAUUUUGACGUUACCAACAGAAUAAGCACUGGCUAACUUCGUUCCAGCAGCCGCGGUCAUACGAAGGGUGCAAGCGUUAAUCGGAAUUACUGAGCGUAAUGCGAGCGUAGGUGGUUCGUUAAGUUGUAAGUGAAAGCCCAGGGCUUAACCUGGGAAUUGCUUGCAAAACUGACGAGCUAGAGUAAGAUAGAGGGAAGUGGAAUUUCCUGUGUAGCGGUGAAAUGCGUAAAUAUAGGAAGGAACAUCAGUGGCGAAGGCGACUACCUGGACUGAUACUGACACUGAGGUGCGAAAGCGUGGGGAGCAAACAGG